AGGACGAACGCUGGCGGCGUGCUUAACACAUGCAAGUCGAACGAGGUCCACUGCGUAGCAAUACAAGGGAAGACCUAGUGGCGAACGGGUGCGUAACACGUGAGGAACUUGUCCCGGUCUCUGGGAUAACAGUUGGAAACGACUGCUAAUACCGGAUGACGUCGGAAUCUCGCAUGGGAUACUGACGAAAGGGUUACUGGAUCGGGAGAGCCUCGCGGCCUAUCAGCUUGUUGGUGAGGUAACGGCUCACCAAGGCAUCGACGGGUAGCUGGUCUGAGAGGAUGAUCAGCCACACUGGGACUGAGACACGGCCCAGACUCCUACGGGAGGCAGCAGUGGGGAAUCUUGCGCAAUGGGCGAAAGCCUGACGCAGCAACGUCGCGUGCGGGAAGAAGGCCCUCGGGUUGUAAACCGCUUUCAGUAGGAACGAAAAUGACGGUACCUGCAGAAGAAGGUGCGGCCAACUACGUG
rnacentral:rRNA from 1 species